CCUACGGGCGGCUGCAGUGAGGAAUAUUGGUCAAUGGCCGCAGGGCUGAACCAGCCAAGUCGCGUGAGGGAUGACGGUCCUAUGGAUUGUAAACCUCUUUUGUCAGGGAGCAAAGGGCGCCACGUGUGGCGCUUUGCGAGUACCUGAAGAAAAAGCAUCGGCUAACUCCGUGCCAGCAGCCGCGGUAAUACGGAGGAUGCGAGCGUUAUCCGGAUUUAUUGGGUUUAAAGGGUGCGCAGGCGGAAUGUCAAGUCAGCGGUAAAAUUUCGGGGCUCAACCCCGUCGUGCCGUUGAAACUGGCGUUCUUGAGUGAGCGAGAAGUAUGCGGAAUGCGUGGUGUAGCGGUGAAAUGCAUAGAUAUCACGCAGAACUCCGAUUGCGAAGGCAGCAUACCGGCGCUCAACUGACGCUCAUGCACGAAAGCGUGGGUAUAGAACAGGAUUAGAUACCCCAGUAGUC
rnacentral:rRNA from 1 species